rnacentral:rRNA from 1 species
UACGGAAGGCAGCAGUGGGGAAUAUUGCACAAUGGGCGCAAGCCUGAUGCAGCCAUGCCGCGUGUAUGAAGAAGGCCUUCGGGUUGUAAAGUACUUUCAGUCGUGAGGAAGGUGUUAAGGUUAAUAACCUUAGCAAUUGACGUUAGCGACAGAAGAAGCACCGGCUAACUCCGUGCCAGCAGCCGCGGUAAUACGGAGGGUGCGAGCGCUAAUCGGAAUUACUGGGCGUAAAGGGCACGCAGGCGGUUAAUUAAGUUGGAUGUGAAAUCCCCGGGCUUAACCUGGGAAUGGCAUUCAAGACUGGUUAGCUAGAGUCUUGUAGAGGGGGUAGAAUUCCAUGUGUAGCGGUGAAAUGCGUAGAGAUGUGGAGGAAUACCGGUGGCGAAGGCGGCCCCUGGACAAAGACUGACGCUCAUGUGCGAAAGCGUGGGGAGCAAACAGGGAUUAGAUACC